GGGUGCAAGUCGUUAUAGGCUCAGACUAAGCAAUAACCUAGCCAACAGGUGCAUAUGAAUUUAACAUGUUAGGCCAGCCGACAACUUCUCGUCCCCGGUAAAUCAGGUUAAAGUGAUGCUCGUUUGGUCCUGUCGUUUACUUCGUGAUAAAUGUCUCAACAAAUAAGCUAACAGGCCCAUCUUUGCUAUGCCUUGUUUAAAAUUGUAGGCCUUCAUUAGGAUUAGGCUAAUUGCCAUUAGGCUGUAUGAUAUAGGCCUAGGCCUGAUUGGACGGGAUUUUUGAUUAGGCUAUUGCAAACAUACUGGCAGACAUCACAUGGAUGACUGCAGUUCAACUGGUGUAGGCUAUCUUGAUUAAGAAAACCUGAAAUGGCGGCAAGAUGAAAAGAACGAAAGCGAAGACAUUUGUUUUCGCUGCGUGGAAAGCCAGGAGUUAAAGCAUAACGACCUUCUUGAGUUGUAGGAAGAGCUGGUGUUUCUCCUCCUGAAGCCCCUGCAGUUUCUCACCCAUCUUCAUAAUCUACAACAGUAGGACAUGUCCAGAAGAAAUGUAGAAAAAGCCAUUUGGAGGCCAAGGUCAUUUUGAGAUGUCAGUUGCGUUGUCACAGCCACACCUGUUCUUUGGUCUCCUCUAAGGACAUCCGCUCCUCCAUCUCUUUCUUCCGCUUUCUCUCUUCCUCUUCUUUAAGUUUUUGUUCCAUCAUCUUGUCCACUUCUUCUUCCUCUGUGGACAGUUUUUUAAUCAAAAUCAAGCAUAUCAAAUAUGGAUGUAGGCAAAACAAGUCACUCAGCUCAUGUUAAUCACAUGUGAUGGAAUUGUUCUUGUUGUCUGAAGAGAUAUGCUCUAUAUGAUCUAUUCCUGGCUCUAGAUAUAUCCUUGAAUGCAUUUUGAACCAUUUAGAGGCUAAGUUAGUACUGACUAGGCUACGUUCACAUUUAGCCAGCACAAGCAAUAGCAUCUAGAGCUUCAAAUAAAAACAAUUCGCAGUUUCUCCCUGGAUUUACGACAGAAUGCAGAUGCCUCCACUUAUCAAAGUGAUGUGGUCAUUAAAAUAAAUAAAUGUACAAAC